GAUGAACGCUGGCGGCAUGCCUAACACAUGCAAGUCGAGCGAACACACGAGGAGCUUUCUCCUCUGACUUUAGCGGCGGACGGGUGAGUCCCAUGUGGUUAACCUACCUAUAAGACUGGGGUAACUUCACGAAACCGGAGCUAAUACCCGAUAAUAUAUUGAACCGCAUGGUUCAAGAGUUAAAGAAGGUUUUGCUUUGACUAAUAGAUGAAUCCGCGCCGAAUUAGCUAGUUGGUGAGGUAACGGCUUACCAACGCGACGACGCGUAAACGACCUGAGAGGGUGAUCAGACACAUUGGAACUGAGACAGGGUACAGACUCCGACGGGAGGAAGCAGUAGGGAAUCUUCCGCAAUGGGCGAAAGCCUGACGGAGCAACGCCGCGGGAGUGAUGAAGGUCUUCGGAUCGGAAAGCUCUGUAAGUAGGGAGGAAGGAAAGUGUAUGUAACCAUGCAGGUCUUGACGGUACCGGAAGAAUAAGCCCCGGCUAACUCCGUG
rnacentral:rRNA from 1 species